rnacentral:siRNA from 1 species
UAAGUUGUUGCAGUUAAAAAGC